rnacentral:rRNA from 1 species
GACGAACGCUGGCGGCGUGCCUAAUACAUGCAAGUAGAACGCUGAAGAGAGGAGCUUGCUCUUCUUGGAUGAGUUGCGAACGGGUGAGUAACGCGUAGGUAACCUGCCUUGUAGCGGGGGAUAACUAUUGGAAACGAUAGCUAAUACCGCAUAACAAUGGAUGACACAUGUCAUUUAUUUGAAAGGGGCAAUUGCUCCACUACAAGAUGGACCUGCGUUGUAUUAGCUAGUAGGUGAGGUAAUGGCUCACCUAGGCGACGAUACAUAGCCGACCUGAGAGGGUGAGCGGCCACGCUGGGACUGAGACACGGCCCAGACUCCUACGGGAGGCAGCAGGAGGGAAUCUUCGGCAAUGGGGGCAACCCUGACCGAGCAACGCCGCGGGAGUGAAGAAGGUUGUCGGAUCGUAAAGCUCUGUUGUAAGUCAAGAACGGGUGUGAGAGUGGAAAGUUCACACUGUGACGGUAGCUUACCAGAAAGGGACGGCUAACUACGUG